AGCGAGAGCGAGGCAAAUGGUGAACAUUCCAUGGGGCUGUGGAAGGGCCUGGACCCUCUCCUAAGACUGGGUGCACUGGCCUCACACCCAGUCUUGUGCUCAGCCCAGAAAGAGCAGGAGAAGAGUGAGAUGCGUGGAACCCGUUGUCCAGUUUGGGAGACUGGCCAGCUAAGGCCCAUGGAAUCACCAAUACCAGCCAACAUCACACGGCUCCCCGCAGAGCAGCAGUUCCUCGCACCACAUCACAUUAGGGGCAAGUUCAUGAAAUGCUUGACCAUAUAGCCUGUGAAUGACGUUAGAAAUAGCCAAUGGCCCUUGGCAGAGAAAAGGCCCCGCACCCCUGCCAAACAGGAAACCAUUAGAAAAAAAUGUUUUUUUUCCUA